AAGAUGGCCGGACCCGGCGCGACGGGUGAGUAACACGUAUCCAACCUGCCGAUAACUCUGGAAUAGCCUUUACGAAAGAAAGAUUAAUACCGGAUGGCAUACGAAUAUCGCAUGAUAUUUUUAUUAAAGAAUUUCGGUUAUCGAUGGGGAUGCGUUCCAUUAGUUUGUUGGCGGGGUAACGGCCCACCAAGACAACGAUGGAUAGGGGUUCUGAGAGGAAGGUCCCCCACAUUGGAACUGAGACACGGUCCAA
rnacentral:rRNA from 1 species